rnacentral:rRNA from 1 species
GAUGAACGCUGGCGGCGUGCCUAAUACAUGCAAGUCGAGCGAACAGACGAGGAGCUUGCUCCUCUGACGUUAGCGGCGGACGGGUGAGUAACACGUGGAUAACCUACCUAUAAGACUGGGAUAACUUCGGGAAACCGGAGCUAAUACCGGAUAAUAUAUUGAACCGCAUGGUUCAAUAGUGAGAGACGGUUUUGCUGUCACUUAUAGAUGGAUCCGCGCCGCAUUAGCUAGUUGGGAAGGUAAUGGCUUAGCAAGGCAACGAUGCGUAGACGACCGGAGAGAGGGAUAGCCGACAUGGGAAGGUGGCCGCGGACAUGGCGACUACGGUAGGGAGCAGAAGGGAACGGGCCGCAACGGGGGAAAGUCUGACGGAGUAACGGGAAGCGAGAUACGACGGCCCCCGGUGCGGAAUACCCGGUUAUGAGUGAAGAACCAAUGUGUAAGGAACCAUGCACGGCUUGACGGUACUUAAUCAGAAAGCAACGGCUAACUACGUG